rnacentral:rRNA from 1 species
GCCUACAUGAAGCCGGAAUCGCUAGUAAUCGCGGAUCAGCAUGCCGCGGUGAAUACGUUCCCGGGCCUUGUACACACCGCCCGUCACACCACGAGAGUUUGUAACACCCGAAGUCGGUGGGGUAACCUUUUGGAGCCAGCCGCCUAAGGUGGGACAGAUGAUUGGGGUGAAGUCGUAACAAGGUAGCCGUAUCGGAAGGUGCGGCUGGAUCACCUCCUUUCUAUGGAG